CAGCUUAGUUCCAUUCACACACUCACACUCCCAGAUGUGGCCCCCUGGUCUUAUUCCUAUCUCACUGUUUCAACAGUCAGACGUUUGUUCUUCAGGCUGCUCUCUGCAAUAUCCUAGUCAGACAACCGCAGGGAGCCUUUGUGCAUUUAUUUAUUUAUUUGCCUGGACUCGGAAUAUAAACAAAACAUGCAGUCACUUCCCACCAGGAUGUAUCCUUCUGGAUGUCAGCACACGUGCAAGAUGACAAUUUCAGGCAAGAAUUUUUUCCUCUAAUCUAUGACUUGAUCACUCGGGUGUCUGGGAGUGGGUUAGAGAACAUAUCUGAAGUUAAAGCUUGAAUGCUUUUCAGUGUGACUGGAGGUGAGGGCAGGGGUCCGGGAGACCCAGACAGCAGUUGCUCAGCUCAGCACCUAAGUGCUCCCUGUUCUCAGGAGGAGUAACAGAAAGCUUAGGGGAAGAAACGGCUCCAGAGAAGACGCGUGCUUAGAAAUGAACACUGUAAAUGUUACUCAGCAUACAAUUGAAGGAAAGGCAUCACUCACAGGAAGUGAUCACAAUUCUUUAUUAUCUGGGCCUUGUCACUAAGGAAACACUCGCUGAGUAGAAGAAACCAGUCCUCUUUGAGUUUAGGUUAGUUAUGAUGGCUCUGUGUUUGCUUCAUUCACAAUAAUUACACUUAAAAAGUUUACAGUCCUCAAGACAAAAAACAUGUCCACACCCUUGAAUUUGUUUUAGUUAUAUGUGAGGUCAAUGUUAUCCAUCUUCAUUUAUCAGAUAAAGAAACUGAAAACCAUAGUCUGUCAUAAAAUAAUCCCAAUUCCGAUCUUCAAGAAUUCAAGUUUUAUUGUCCUAUUGUACUAGAGCUGUUUUUGUAAAACACACGACUUUAAUCUUUCAGACAAAAUCAUGAAAACAUAAACUUAUCACGCACAACAGCCUGACAUGCAAUGCAGUGUAGUCUAGGAUAUAGGCACUAGUGUCAAAUUUUAAUCAAAAACCAGCUAAAUUUGUUUUUAAAAAGAUUUUUUCCUGGAUCUGGAAAAGGAAGUGCUUUUCUGGCAUAAAACAAAGAAUAUAAGGUAGAAUUCAGACCUUACGUGUCUGUAGGAGAUUUUAACGUGAAUGAAUUUCACAUGCUUUUAAAGCUUUCUUCUCCUUCUUCUUCUAUUUUUAAUCAUCUUAGCAGCCGUUGUUUAUUUUCUGGAGAGGAGUGGUUUUUAUUUACAUUGGAAAAUCCAUCGUUUUUGCAUAGGUUGUCUUUCAUUCUUGGUGAGGCACUGAGAAAGGAGAAAAACAAAACUUUAGAAACAGAGCAAUGGUAUAAUUGAUUGAAUGUUACGUGAACUGUCAAGAUUAGAACUUUCCCAUACUAUCUUAGGAAUAAAAAUAUGUUCUGGUUAGUAAUCCUCA
rnacentral:lncRNA from 13 species